UCGAUUCCCUUAGUAGCGGCGAGCGAAACGGGAAGAGCCCAAACCAACAAGCUUGCUUGUUGGGGUUGUAGGACACUCUAUACGGAGUUACAAAGGACGACAUUAGACGAAUCAUCUGGAAAGAUGAAUCAAAGAAGGUAAUAAUCCUGUAGUCGAAAAUGUUGUCUCUCUUGAGUGGAUCCUGAGUACGACGGAGCACGUGAAAUUCCGUCGGAAUCUGGGAGGACCAUCUCCUAAGGCUAAAUACUCUCUAGUGACCGAUAGUGAACCAGUACCGUGAGGGAAAGGUGAAAAGCACCCCGGAAGGGGAGUGAAAUAGAACCUGAAACCGUGUGCUUACAAGUAGUCAGAGCCCGUUAAUGGGUGAUGGCGUGCCUUUUGUAGAAUGAACCGGCGAGUUACGAUUUGAUGCAAGGUUAAGCAGUAAAUGUGGAGCCGUAGCGAAAGCGAGUCUGAAUAGGGCGUUUAGUA
rnacentral:rRNA from 1 species